AGAUGUGAGUGGUAUCUGGCUGUUAUAUCUGACACAGCAUGAUCACCAAGGCUGAUUUGGUUGAUUUGACUGGCUAGACAGGUGUCCCCUUCUUCUACUACUCUAUGUGUCCUUCUCAAAGCUGUGUGCUUGGUCAGAGGAUGACCUCCCUUACAGGAGGAGCAGUUCAAUCAAGGAUAUAGGAGUAACUGUAUUCUUCUGCUAGAACCUCCUAACAAGCACUCAAUAUCCAAGUACACAGCACAUUAGCCUGUGGGAAACACUUCCUAUUCAAAGCUUA
rnacentral:snRNA from 1 species